rnacentral:lncRNA from 1 species
CACAUUCUCAAAUCUCUCUCAAAUUUCUCUCAAUUCUCUGUUAAAUUCUCCCUCAAUUUUUAUUUAUCUCUAAAUUUUAUUUUUUUAUUAAAAUUAUCUUAACAUUUUCAUAAAUUAUUUUUCUAUUAGAAAUUAUUCAGUAUUUUUCGAAAUUAGCAAUGACCGGAUCUCUAAUCAGUUUUAAUGACAACCACAUUUCCAUCAAUCAAUUGCAAAUGGUAAGAAUUUUUUAUUAUAUUUUAAUGUUGUUUAAUUUUCCUAUUUUCUUGUUAUAUUUUAAUUUAAUAUUUUGUAUAUUUUUUACUUAUAUAUGCGGAAGAUUGAAUUUUGGAGGCUUAUAUUCGUAAUCUACUCGCUUAUUCAUUACCCUUGAUUGGAUCCUACUUGAGAGAAGUUGGUUUUUCGCACGUGGCCCUUGGAGGUAAGGGGUGUAAGUUGGACCUGACACUCGUAAGCCUUUGGUGGAAAGGUGGAGACCCGAGACGCACACAUUUCAUCUUCCAUGCAGCGAGUGUACUAUCAUUAGGACGCAGCCGAUUGGAGAGAUGUAUGCGACGAACUUUUGGGGAGGGUUUCGGAGAUGAUUUAUGGAGGGCAGAUCGAAAUGGAAUUCAUCUGCGACUACAUCUUGUCGCCUCUAAAAGAAAAGCCCUAUAGUACUACAUCUUGAAUUGCCUCUCAAAAUAAGGAUAUAAUGAUCUCUUUAAAUAGGCUAAUGUUGAAAGGCUAAAACAACUAAAAUAUCCCUCAAGUAAUCAGAGUUCAAUUGAGAGACAAAACUCUACUUAAAGCCUAAAACGCAACUGCUUACUUGAGGAAUACAGCGCGUCGUCACGAUGUCCCAUGCUUCAUCACUCUUAUAUUUUAUAGUAAUUUAAUUUGUUUUUUUAAUAUUCACCAAUAAUACAUAUAGUUUUUUUUUCUUUUAUAAACUACAUUUUAUAGUUAUUUUAUUUUAGUUAUCUAUGCUAUUAUUUUACAUUUUAUACCUAUUUUAUUGUAGUCGUCUAUACUAUGAUUUAAGGUUAAUUUUAAAAAUAGUCACCCAA